rnacentral:rRNA from 1 species
AUGAACAAGAGGACCCGUACAAUUGAAUCUUUCUUUCAGUCAAUAUCCAAUCAGCCUUCAGCCAACAACACCAACACUGAUGGAUCACCUACAGAAUCAGUACCGGUGGGAGCUAGUAAUGCAAAGGAAAGUGAACCACGUGUGGAGCUUAAUCCGGAUGACAUUAAUCCUGAUCUCGGCCUCCGAAAACCAAUUGAAGAGUUGCAUCCUGAUGUUAGGGAUGCUGCUAGAAGAGAGUAUUUGGCCAUGGGAGCAUGUCGACCAACAGGCCAUGUUUAUGAACAGGGAAGAAUUGGGAAGCAGAUGAGAGGCUUUCGUGAAGAGUGGUACAAAUCGCAUGAUUGGUUGGAAUAUAGUGUUGCCAAAAAGGCCGCCUUCUAUUUUCAUUGUUUUCUCUUUAAGCAACCAAGAGCUGAAAACUAUGGAAUAGAAGCAUAUACAAAGAAAGGUUUUAGUAACUGGAAAAAUGCUAUUGCAUCUUUUGUUACUCAUGUUGGUAAUGUUAACAGUGCUCAUAAUAGAGCAAGAAGACAAUGUCAAGCUUUUCAAAACCCGAGGCAAAGUGUCGUGAAGUUUCUUUUAUUGCAAGCUCUUGCUUUUCGUGGACAUGAUGAGUCUGCUAACUCAAACAAUAAGGGGAAUUUCUUAGAGAUGGUGAAGUGGUAUAAAAAAAGAGAUUCGAAUGCCGCUAAGUUUUUAGAUUGUGCUCCUGGAAAUAAUUUGUUGACAUCUGCACAAAUACAAAAGCAUUUGUGCAAAGCUUGUGGAGAAGAGAUGACUAAAGCAAUUGUGAAUGAUAUUGGGGAUAAAAAAUUCGUUGUCCUUGUUGAUGAGGCUCGAGAUGCAUCUCUCAAAUAACAAAUGGUUGUGGCUUUGAGGUAUUUGAAUAGUCAAGGGGAAGUGAUUGAGAGGUUUCUUGCGAUUAAACAUGUUGCCGACACAACAUCAUCUUCAUUGAAGGCAGUCUUGGAUGCUAUGUUUCUUAAACAUGGCCUAUCUAUCCAUAGAAUGCGAGGCCAAGGAUACGAUGGAGCAUCGAACAUGAGAGGUGAAUUUCAUGGGCUGCAAAGAAGGGUACUGGAUGAGAAUCCUUAUGCUUUUUAUAUACAUUGCUUUGCACAUCAGUUGCAGUUCGUGGUUGUUGCCAUUGCCAAGUGUUGUCCUUCUGUCAUGGAUUUCUUUAGUUACACUUCAAUGAUUGUCAACUGUGUUAAUGGUUCUUGUAAGAGACAUGACCAAUUAGCCCAAGCGCAACAUGAUGAUCUUGUGCAGAAAUUAGAGACUGGAGAAAUUUUUACAGGGAGAGGGAGGAACCAACAAACUAACCUUACAAGACCCGACACAUCACAAAAGACCACAGCACGAGGUUUGAUACGUCAUAUGGAGAGCUUUGAGUUUGUGUUUAUACUGCAUCUUAUGAUGAAAUUGUUGGGAAAAACUAAUGAUCUAUCAUAGUGCUUGCAAAAGAAGAACCAGAAUAUUGUUCGUGCUAUGGGCUUGAUUCAAACCACAUUGCAGAAACUUAAUGAGAUGAGGCAUCAGGGGUGGGAUGAGCUAUUUGAAGAGGUAAAUGCCUUUUGUCUCAAACAUAACAUCGUUAUUCCAAACAUGACGGAAACAUUAGCUAUUGGGGGUCGUUCGAGAGGUCGUGACAGCCAAAUGGUAACUCACUUACAUUAUUUCCAUCAUGAAAUAUUUAAUGUGGUGCUUGACCAGAUUAUUGUUGAGUUCAACAAUCGCUUUGCUGAGAAAUCUACCCAACUAUUGAGAUGCAUCGCUUGUCUUGAGCCAAGAAAUUCUUUUGCCAAUUUUGAUAUAAAUAAGCUAGUGUAACUUGCUCAGAUUUAUGGUGCGGAUUUCUUAGAAUAUGAGUGCAGAGUUCUUAGGGACCAACUUGAGACAUUUGUUACUGAAGCUAGAGCUGAUACUGAAUUUUUACGUUGCAUUGAUCUUGGCCAGCUUGCUAUAAAGAAGGUUCAAAUAGAUAGGCACACACAUUUUCCGUUGGUAUAUCGUCUCAUUGAAUUGGCCUUGAUUCUCCCCGUCGCAGCGGCAACCGUAGAAAGAGCUUUCUCGGCUAUGAGCAUUGUCAAAACUGAUCUGUGAAACAAGAUGAAUGAUGAAUGGAUGAAUCACCGUUUGGUGUUCUAUAUUGAGCAUGAUGUAUUUGCAAGCAUUGAUGAUAUUAAGAUUAUACAGUGCUAUCAAAAAAUGAGGAAACACAAGGGGCUACUACCUGGUGGACUUCGUGUUAAUGGUAUAAUAUGUUCUUUUUCUUGCAAAAUUUCAUAUGAACAAUUGAUUUAG